rnacentral:lncRNA from 1 species
ACUCUUCCUCUUGCAAUAUCCUUUUGGCUUCACAUGAAAGUUUGAUCCUAUUGAUUGAAGUUCAGAAGAUGGUGAAGAAGAAGAACAUCAUCAUGGUAUGCCGAAGCGGUGUUAUAUAUAUAUAUGUGUGUGUUACACCAUUGUCAAACGUAUAUAGUGACAACAGAUACAUAUUUGUACCUUUUGGUUAGGUAGAAUAUGUGUACCUUAAUUACAUGUGUAGAG